AGAACGAACGCUGGCGGCAUGCUUAACACAUGCAAGUCGAACGAGACCUUCGGGUCUAGUGGCGCACGGGUGCGUAACGCGUGGGAAUCUGCCCUUUGCUACGGAAUAACUCGGAGAAAUCCGUGCUAAUACCGUAUGAUGUCGUAAGACCAAAGAUUUAUCGGCAAAGGAUGAGCCCGCGUAAGAUUAGCUUGUUGGUGUGGUAAAGGCGCACCAAGGCGACGAUCUUUAGCUGGUCUGAGAGGAUGAUCAGCCACACUGGACUGAGACACGGCCCAGACUCCUACGGGAGCAGCAGUGGGGAAUAGUUGGACAAU
rnacentral:rRNA from 1 species